GUAGAUUACUUUUGCCGGCUCUUCCAAGUAACUAAAACAUCUAGUUUCCCCAACAGAGAUCCAUCCAGUAUUUUGGUCAGUCGUGCCUCAUGGUGUAUGUGAAAAACCAGUAGUUUAAAUGGGGAACUACGUCUGCUUCUGGAAUCCUACCAAGUGGGAUCUUGGAGCAGGUUACGCCGGAGGAAGCCUGCGUCACUUGCUGUAUGUGAAAGUGAAGUGUGAGGAAGUCGCCAUCAUCAGCUGGGGCCCCUGGGGCUUCUGAACUUACCGUCUGCCUCAACAGCCUGGAGUUUCUAAACUGCACGAAAAGCCCCAGCGAGUUGCCACCCAUCGCAGGUCACAUCACAUAGGAUGUCCCCAUGGUCGAAAGAUGCCCUGGUCAUGUCAGCAGGUGCCCCCUCCACCUGGGAAGCUCCGGGAGCUCUAUUGCAUUCUUUAGGAGAGCCAAGCGUGUAAAUUUGCGUGCUUCAAUCACAUCAGCGUUUUGGAAACCAGGAUAUGUGGAGAUGCAGUUCACUUAGCUUCAUGGAGCUUUGGUGCCUGCCCCCGUGCCUGCACGGGCCUUGCAUACAGUGGGGUGUCAACAACGAGGUCUGGAAAGAAGGAGCACAAACCCAAGAGGACAGUGGUGCACAGAAGGAGCCGAUGCUGAGUGGGGGCAGGCCCCGCACUUCUUCCUGGGAUCUGAGGCCGCAGUGGCCCCAGAGCAGCUUGGACUUGUGGCCCCUGAGGGACCCUGUGUGCAGCGUGGCGUGAACAGCAUGGAUGGUAACAGCAGCUCAUCGUGUCAAGGAAGAAGCUAACAGACAGCCCUGCAAGGGGCAGUUUUUAGGGUGGUGGGGACCCACCGUGCCAGAUGCAGCUUUGAGGGUGGUGGGUACCUGCCUGUAGCCACCCCUCAGUGAGCUCUACACCUCAGCUGCACUUGCUAAGAUGAAUGAAACCCUGGGUUCAGAGCAGGGAGGGACCCGGCCCAUUGACUUCCAAACCCAGCUGCCUGUGCAUCUGUCACCAGGAACUGGGAACAGCAUUCCAGCCGCUGACUCUGGGCCCUGCCAGUCUGAAGUGGGGCCUGCCCAUCAGCAUUAGAAACGGGAGUCCCAGGCAAUUGUGAUGCAGCUGGUUCACGGACUGGGACUUGAGGAGCCAUUAAACUCAUCCAACAAUCUCA